rnacentral:rRNA from 1 species
GACGGGGACCCGCACAAGCGGUGGAUGAUGUGGUUUAAUUCGAUGCAACGCGAAAAACCUUACCCACCUUUGACAUGUACGGAAUUUGCCAGAGAUGGCUUAGUGCUCGAAAGAGAACCGUAACACAGGUGCUGCAUGGCUGUCGUCAGCUCGUGUCGUGAGAUGUUGGGUUAAGUCCCGCAACGAGCGCAACCCUUGUCAUUAGUUGCUACAUUUAGUUGGGCACUCUAAUGAGACUGCCGGUGACAAACCGGAGGAAGGUGGGGAUGACGUCAAGUCCUCAUGGCCCUUAUAGGUGGGGCUACACACGUCAUACAAUGGCUGGUACAGAGGGUUGCCAACCCGCGAGGGGGAGCUAAUCCCACAAAGCCAGUCGUAGUCCGGAUCGCAGUCUGCAACUCGACUGCGUGAAGUCGGAAUCGCUAGUAAUCGCGGAUCAGAAUGUCGCGGUGAAUACGUACCCGGGUCUUGUACACACCGCCCGUCACACCAUGGGAGCGGGUUCUGCCAGAAGUAGUUAGCCUAACCGCAAGGAGGGCGAUUACCACGGCAGGGUUCGUGACUGGGGUGAAGUCGUAACAAGGUAACCAAGGGCGAAUUCCAGCACACUGGCGGCCGUUACUAGUGAUCCGAGCUCGUACCAAAGGCAC